GAUCCAAGGUACCAAAAGGAUGGCACAGAUUCAGAACAGCAAGGGUGAUGCUCAAGCUCCGGGUACAGGGAGAAGACCUGGAAAAAAUUGCCAGACCAACUCAAAAUCACAAAGUUUCCAGAGCUUAUAUACCUUCUAAGCCAUGUGUCUAUGUUUCUCUGUCCUGUUCCCAUGCGGAGAAGAUCCUUGCAUCCCAUUCUGCCAUGAUUGUAUGUUUCCUGAGGCUUCCCCAGCCAUGUGGAACUAUCCCCAGAAUGGAGCCCAGACAGAGGAGCAGGGAGACAUCGGAUUUGUUGCUGCUCUCAGCCUCCUCUCAGCAUCCUUGUCUACAUGCAGGGGUUCUGCCAAGCUGA
rnacentral:lncRNA from 1 species